rnacentral:rRNA from 1 species
UAGGGAAUCUUGCACAAUGGGCGAAAGCCUGAUGCAGCAACGCCGCGUGAAGGAUGAAGGCCUUCGGGUUGUAAACUUCUGUUCUAAGGGAAGAAACAAAUGACGGUACCUUAGGAGCAAGCCCCGGCUAACUACGUGCCAGCAGCCGCGGUAAUACGUAGGGGGCAAGCGUUAUCCGGAAUUAUUGGGCGUAAAGAGUGCGUAGGUGGUUACCUAAGCGCAAGGUUUAAUUUAGAGGCUCAACCUCUACUUGCCUUGCGAACUGGGCUACUUGAGUGCAGGAGGGGAAAGCGGAAUUCCUAGUGUAGCGGUGAAAUGCGUAGAUAUUAGGAGGAACACCAGCGGCGAAGGCGGCUUUCUGGACUGUAACUGACACUGAGGCACGAAAGCGUGGGUAGCAAACAGGAUUAGAUACCCUGGUAGUCCACGCCGUAAACGAUGAGCACUAGGUGUUGGGUCCGUUAGGGCUCAGUGCCGCAGUUAACGCAAUAAGUGCUCCGCCUGGGGAGUACGCUCGCAAGAGUA